rnacentral:rRNA from 1 species
GACGAACGCUGGCGGCGUGCUUAACACAUGCAAGUCGAACGGAAAGGCCCCUUUGGGGGUACUCGAGUGGAGAACGGGUGAGUAACACGUGAGUAACCUGCCCUUGACUUCGGGAUAACUUCAGGAAACUGGGGCUAAUACCGGAUAGGAAUCCUUGCUGCAUGGUGGGGGUUGGAAAGCUUCGGCGGUUUUGGAUGGACUCGCGGCUUAUCAGCUUGUUGGUGGGGUAGUGGCUUACCAAGGCUUUGACGGGUAGCCGGCCUGAGAGGGCGACCGGCCACAGUGGGACUGAGAUACGGCCCAGACUCCGACGGGAGGCAGCAGGGGGGAAUAUUGCACAAUGGGCGGAAGCCUGAUGCAGCAACGCCGCGUGCGGGAUGACGGCCUUCGGGUUGUAAACCGCUUUCAGCAGGGGCGAAGCUUGUGGUGACGGUACCUGCAGAAGAAGCACCGGCUAACUACGUG